CCCUUGUGGAGGAGGACGCCGAAGGUGGGGCUAAUGACUGGGGUGAAGUCGUAACAAGGUAGCCGUACCGGAAGGUGCGGCUGGAUCACCUCCUAACAGGGAGACAACAAAAUGUUUAAUAUUAUUAUUUUGUCACCUUAGGUCGAUCGGUAUCUCACGUUUUUAAUUUAUUAAGAAUUUCAUUUCCUAAGUUUUUCUAGGUCACACCCAUUAUUUUUCCUGGGCCAUUAGCUCAGGUGGUUAGAGCGCACCCCUGAUAAGGGUGAGGUCCCUGGUUCAAGUCCAGGAUGGCCCAUAUCUCUAUGUUGGGGGUAUAGCUCAGUUGGUAGAGCGCCUGCUUUGCAAGCAGGAUGUCAGCGGUUCGAGUCCGCUUACCUCCACUGAUUACCACCUCUUCCAUAACCGGUAGAAAGGAAAUGUUUUGAGUUGUGAUCAAAUUCUGAAAGAAUCUAGCUUCCUAAUGAAAUCAUUAAGAUGCUGGACUCAUUGAAUUAAUUUCAUUGUUUUCAGAGAACCUUGACAACUGCAUAGAUUAUUUUUAAAGACAAUAAGCAUCUUUAAUGAUGCAGAUUUAUUAUUUGUGCGAAUGCAUUAAAUAACAAUUCUAUUAAGCUGAUGCUUCAAUUUUUGAAGUUAUUGGUCAAGCUACAAAGGGCUCACGGAGGA
rnacentral:misc_RNA from 1 species